UACAGAGGGUCUCAAGCGUUUGUUCGGAUUCAUUGGGCGUAAAAGGGUGUGUAGGUGGCGCCGUAAGUCGGGUGUGAAAUUUCGGAGCUUAACUCCGAAACUGCAUUCGAUACUGCGGUGCUUGAGGACUGGAGAGGAGACUGGAAUUCAUGGUGUAGCAGUGAAAUGCGUAGAGAUCAUGAGGAAGACCAGUGGCGAAGGCGGGUCUCUGGACAGUUCCUGACACUGAGACACGAAGGCCAGGGGAGCAAACGGG
rnacentral:rRNA from 1 species